UUCUGAAGGAAUGACAUCUUGCAUAGCAAGAGGCUAACGCAGGGAACUGAAACAUCUUAGUACCUGUAGGAAAAGAAAAUAAUAAUGAUUCCCCUAGUAGUGGCGAGCGAACGGGGAUUAGCCCAAACCAAUGUUGUUACGGCAAUAUUGGGGUUGUAGGACCACGAUGUCGCAAGAAAUUUAGUGAGAAGAACCCUUUGGAAAAUGGGACCAUAGACGGUGAUAGUCCGGUAUUCGAAGCUAAAUGAAGCGUAGUGGUAUCCUGAGUAGCGCGGGACACGAGGAAUCUUGCGUGAACCAGCCGGGACCAUCCGGUAAGGCUAAAUACUCCCGAGAGACCGAUAGCGAACCAGUACUGUGAAGGAAAGGUGAAAAGCACUUCGAAUAGAAGAGUGAAAUAGUCCCUGAAACCAUGCGCCUACAAGCGGUCGGAGCAGCUUAUGCUGUGACGGCGUGCCUUUUGCAUAAUGAACCUACGAGUUACUUUUUCCGGCAAGGUUAAGGAUCUUGAGAUCCGCAGCCGAAGCGAAAGCGAGUCUUAACAGGGCGAUUAGUCGGAAGGAGUAGACGCGAAACCAAGUGAUCUACCCUUGGUCAGGAUGAAGGUUAGGUAACACUAACUGGAGGACCGAACCGAUAAGCGUUGAAAAGCUUCCGGAUGAACUGAGGGUGGGGGUGAAAGGCUAAUCAAACUUGGAGAUAGCUCGUACUCCCCGAAAUGCAUUUAGGUGCAGCCUUGGGAAUUACUACUGUGAGGUAGAGCGACUGAUAAGAUGCGAGGGCUUCACCGCCUAUCAAGUCUUGAUAAACUCCGAAUGCGCAGUAGUUCGAUCCCAGGAGUGGGGGCAUGGGUGCUAAGGUCCAUGUCCUAAAGGAGAAGAAUCCGGACCAUCAGCUAAGGUCCCGAAAUAAUUGCUAAGUUGAACUAACGAAGUCAGAUUGCUAAGACAGCUAGGAUGUUGGCUUGGAAGCAGCCAUUCAUUUAAAGAGUGCGUAACAGCUCACUAGUCGAGGAGUUUGGCGUGGAUAAUAAU
rnacentral:rRNA from 1 species